rnacentral:rRNA from 1 species
AUUGAACGCUGGCGGCAUGCUUUACACAUGCAAGACGGACGGCAGCGGGGUAGUGCUUGCACUACUGCCGGCGAGUGGCGAACGGGUGAGUAAUAUAUUGGAACGUACCGAGUAAUGGGGGAUAACCAAUCGAAAGAUUGGCUAAUACCGCAUACGCUCUGAGGAGGAAAGCAGGGGACCUUCGGGCCUUGCGUUAUUCGAGCGGCCAAUAUCUGAUUAGCUAGUGGGUGGGGUAAAGGCCUACCAAGGCGACGAUCAGUAGCGGGUCUGAGAGGAUGAUCCGCCACACUGGGACUGAGACACGGCCAAGACUCCUACGGGCGGCAGCAGUGGGGAAUUUUGGACAAUGGGCGCAAGCCUGAUCCAGCCAUGCCGCGUGUCUGAAGAAGGCCUUCGGGUUGUAAAGGACUUUUGUUAGGGAAGAAAAAGGAGCGGUUAAUACCCGUUUCUGCUGACGGUACCUAAAGAAUAAGCACCGGCUAACUACGUGCCAGCAGCCGCAGUAAAAC